rnacentral:rRNA from 1 species
GACGAACGCUGGCGGCGUGCUUAACACAUGCAAGUCGAACGGAAAGGCCCUGCUUUUGUGGGGUGCUCGAGUGGCGAACGGGUGAGUAACACGUGAGUAACCUGCCCGUGACUUUGGGAUAACUUCAUGAAACUGGGGCUAAUACCGGAUAGGAGCUCCUGCUUCAUGGUGGGGGUUGGAAAGUUUCGGCGGUUGGGGAUGGACUCGCGGCUUAUCAGCUUGGUGGUGGGGUAGUGGCGUACCAAGGCUUUGACGGGUAGCCGGCCUGAGAGGGUGACCGGGCACAUUGGGACUGAGAUACGGCCCAGACUCCUACGGGACGCAGCAGUGGGGAAUAUUGCACAAUGGGCGGAAGCCUGAUGCAGAAACGCCGCGUGCGGGAUGACGGCCUUCGAGUUGUAAACCGCUUUCGCCUGUGACGAAGCGUGAGUGACGGUAAUGGGUAAAGAAGCAACGGCUAACUACGUG